rnacentral:misc_RNA from 1 species
GUGAAUCAUCAAAUCUUUGAACGCAAAUUGCACUCUCUUCGGAGAGUAUGCCUGUUUGAGGGUCAGCCUAAAAAAAAAUCGGCAUAGUCGCUGUUUCUCGGUGACAUUCGUCGGACAUUUGGUCAUCUUAAACCUUUUGGUUUUAAGCUGCUUAAAAUUUUCUUUACGAUUCUGCGAACGUUUCUUAG